GAACUAUCGAGGAGAAGACGGGAACACCCUCAAACUUCAAUCAUCAUUUGACAAGACUCCACCCAGAGAAACCGACACAUCAGAUAGAGAGCUGGGGGCCAUUUUGUCCCAGGUGGUGGAGGCGAGGAGCAUCUAGUGCUGUACAUCAGCCGCAAGCUCUCCAUACGAGAUUCAAAGUACAGCACGAUAGAAAAAGAGUGUCUGGCCAUCAAGUGGGUGGUCCUCACCCUCUGGUACUACCUGCUAGGAUGCCCAUUCACCCUCUGUUCCGACCAUGGCCUGCUCCAGUGGCUCCACCCCAUGAAGGAUGCCAAUGUGCGGAUCACUCAUUGGCAUCUGGCCCUUCAGCCCUUUAAGUUUGAGGUGGUCCACAGGCCAGGGGCACAGAUGGUGGUGGCAGAUUACCUCUCCCACCGGGCAGGGAGUCAGCUGCAGGCUGGACGUCUCCCUGGCCUGAGCCGGGCAGUGGAGGUAUGUGGCAGCAAGGACAUGGUCAAGCAUCAGCUGUGAAUGACAGCCAGAAACAAGAGACAGAGCUGUGACACCCAGUCGCAUGUGUGUGUGUGUUUAGUGUGUUUAUGGUUUGUGAAUAGUCACUGAAAAGUGUGCACAAUAAAAAGAACACACCUGUU